rnacentral:rRNA from 1 species
AGAGUUUGAUCAUGGCUCAGGAUGAACGCUGGCGGCGCACUUAAGACAUGCAAGUCGAACGAAAAUAAACGCUUAACAAGUUAACUAGUUUACUAGGAGAUGAGUUAUUGUUUAUUUUAGUGGCGGACGGGUGAGUAACACGCAGGCAAUCUGCCUUUCAGUGGGAAAUAACUAAGAGAAAUUUUAGCUAAUGUCCCAUAAGACCACAUCAUGGCAACAUGGAGAGGUCAAAGGAGUAAUCCGCUGAAAGAUGAGCCUACGUCUGAUUAGUUAGUUGGCGUGGUAACGGCACACCAAGACGAUGAUCAGUAGCCGAGCUGAGAGGCUGGCCGGCCACAUUGGGACUGAGAUACGGCCCAAACUCCUACGGGAGGCAGCAGUUGGGAAUAUUGGACAAUGGAGGAAACUCUGAUCCAGUGACGCCGCGUGAAGGAAGAAGGUCUUCGGAUUGUAAACUUAUUUUGUCAGGGAAGAAAUAAAUGACUGUACCUGAAGAAGAAGGACCGGCUAACUACGUGCCAGCAGCCGCGGUAAUACGUAGGGUCCAAGCGUUAUCCGGAUUUAUUGGGUGUAAAGGGCGAGUAGACGGUGUUGCAAGUCAGAUGUGAAAACUUGGGGCUCAACCUCAAGACUGCAUCUGAAACUGUAAUACUAGAGUGCAGGAGAGGAAAGUGGAAUUCCUAGUGUAGCGGUGAAAUGCGUAGAUAUUAGGAGGAACACCAGUGGCGAAGGCGACUUUCUGGACUGUAACUGACGUUGAGGCGCGAAAGUGUGGGGAGCAAACAGGAUUAGAUACCCUGGUAGUCCACACCGUAAACGAUGGAUACUAGGUGUAGGCACGCAAGUGUCUGUGCCGUCGCAAACGCAAUAAGUAUCCCACCUGGGGAGUACGGCCGCAAGGUUGAAACUUAAAGGAAUUGACGG